GCAUUUAAAAUUACAAAUAUGGAACUCACUGUUCCUGGAAUAACAAUACGUUUAUGCGGGAUUUUCUUUCGCUGAUGGAGGGAGUGAAUAAGAGAAGCAGGCGAGUUUGUCUAUCCAAUAACUUUGUAUUUCAGAAUAUUCACAGUGAUGACAGUGGGUCACUAAAGGUCAAAUUCUUGAUGCCAAGAAUGAAAUGGCCUCCAUUUAAUUCCAUCAGGUCCAUAUUGUGCAAUAAAAUCAUUAACAUUGAUUGUUUUAAAGGCAAAUGACAACUAAUCCUAUUUGCUAGGAAAAUCAAAGUCCUCUUGGAGCCAUUUGUUAGAUUUAGAUUCUGAACAGUGAAAAUACUGCUAAUUUUGUUAUCACAAUGGUCCUAAAUUAAUUUCCUGCAAUUUUGCACCUUUGUUAUUAAAAUGAACAGACUUGGUUCUAUAUUUCCCCUCCCAACAUCAUUGGGUGGUGGGGAUUUACUCGAUCUAUGUGGUGAUCAGAUUUAAGGGUAUUGUUCAACAAAAUUAACUUCCACAAUUCAACAUUGACAUGCUGAGUAACCAACAUGACUUUUCAAGUUGCAAUAACAGUAAAUGAAAUAUUUGUACACCUUUUUGUACAUUUUGAACAAUUGAUAAGUUCAACGGUGUACAUAAUAAUGUACUGACUGUGUACUGACUGUGUACAUAAUGUACUGAUACAUAACACUGACAAAAGAACACCAUGUACAUGACAUAGGCCUCUUAGAAAAAAUCCAACAAACCUAUGUACCAAGCAAGAACUUACAAUAUUACCACAACAUUAUGCAAGAGACAGGUUCUGCUUUAUCAACCUGUUUUCUAACGAAGUUAAUUUAUGCAUGAUUUGCAUAUUUUGUUUAGAUUCCAUGGAAAAUGCUAAAAAAAAAAAACAAAAACAAAACACAGGAUUAUUUCAGAGGUGUCAAGUGCAAAAAACUAUUUUGUGUAAAAAUGCCAGUUCAUAUUAUGUUCACAUGGUAACUCACUGCAGUUUUCUGUGAAGGUCACAUCGGGUGACGGAGACCGACACAAUCCUAAUUUAGUCAGCCUAGAGUAGGUGUCUAUUCCUUAACAUUCAUUAUUGAAGAAAAAACAAACAUUGUGAUUGGACUUUAAAAGCUUCCAGAUGUGUGGUUGUAGAGAGGGAACUUUUUGAAAAUCUGUCAAUUGUUAGCAGUUCUUGCCCCACUCCUAAGACCCCAGGAAUGCAGGGGUCCUGAAAUUUACCAAUUUAUACCAAAGAAGCUUCAUACCUUAAAAAGAAUUGGAAGGAUAUUCAUCAAGAAGUUAAAAAUGUUCAAUUGUUAAAGCACUACUGACAAUGAACUUCACACAACAAUGGAUGCAGACCAAUAACAAUGUUACCAGAGUGACUUAGGUCACCUAAAAGUGAAGUUUAUUUCUUAUAUUUACAUUCUACAAUCAUUUCAUUUCAAAUUCCUAGCCGUUAAAAUGGAUGUACCAUAUCUAUAUAAUAAUGUUUCAAUUUGAGUAUAUAUUACGCCAAAAUAGUGGUCAGGGUUUUGACAAAUGGUGCACAACCGAAAGUGGAGUGCACUAUUGUCAAAUCCCCGACUACUAUUAUAGUAUAGUGUAUGAAUAGUGUAACAUUAUUAUAAUUAUUACGCUGACUGUCCAUAUUUUUCUCAAUAAAUCAAUAUUUACGUUUCAAUGGAGCAAAGGGUGAUCACUCCGAAUGCACUUCCAAAGUUGAUGUAUUGAAUAGUUUGUCAUUCUAUUGGAGCAUACUAAUCAAAACUGGAAGAUACACCUCAUCAUUUUUGUACUAAUCAAAUGUCUGGGCAAGUUUUCUUUACAAAGGUUUGUAUUAGUUUGUGGCAAACUUUAGUUUAUAUUUAUAAAAUUAUAGUUUAUAUAUAUAUAAUUUAUCCUCGAUAAGAGUAGAGCUACGGUGGUAUCGUGAAUUAAUACUGCAUUUGAUUAACAAGUGCACUAUCUCAGGUUCAAAUCUGUGAAUAAGCACAUUAUUUUUCUUAAUAAAUGGAAUUAUAUUAUAUAUGAAAAGUUUAAAGACGACAAAAAAAAAAAAAAAAAAAAAAAAAAAAAAAGAAA